rnacentral:rRNA from 1 species
CCUACGGGAGGCAGCAGUGAGGAAUAUUGGUCAAUGGCCGGAAGGCUGAACCAGCCAUGCCGCGUGAAGGGCAGGGCCCUAGGGGCGUUAAACUUCUUUUGUGCGGGAGCAAUAAUGGUCACGUGUGGCCAGACGAGAGUACCGGACGAAGAAGCAGCGGCUAACUCCGUGCCAGCAGCCGCGGUAAUACGGGGGAUGCAAGCGUGAGCCGGAUUUAGUGGGGUUCAAGGGUGCGUAGGCUGUGAGGUAAGGCAGCGGUGAAAUGCCCCCGCUCCACGGGGUGAAGUGCCAUUGAUACUGCCUUGCUGGACUGCGGAUGCCUUGGGAGGACUGUUUGGUGUAGCGGUGAAAUGCAU